rnacentral:rRNA from 1 species
AAUCGAACCCGGAGAUAGCUGGUUCUCCUCGAAAUAGCUUUAGGGCUAGCCUCAUGGAUCAUUGAUGGGGGUAGAGCACUGAAUGUGCGCGGGGGCCACAAAGCCUACCAAACGCUAUCAAACUUCGAAUACCAUACAAUGCAGACCAUGGGAGUCAGUCCGCGAGAGAUAAGUUCCGCGGGCAAAAGGGGAACACCCCAGAUCAACCGCUAAGGUCCCCAAGUUCACGUUAAGUGGAGAAGGAUGUGGAAUUGCACAGACAACCAGGAUGUUGGCUCAGAAGCAGCCACACAUUUAAAGAGUGCGUAAUAGCUCACUGGUCGAGUGAUUGUGCGCCGAAGAUGUCCGGGGCUAAACGUGACACCGAAGCGAUGGGUGCAUCUGAAAGGAUGCGCGGUAGAGGAGCAAUGUGCAGAGGCAGAAGCCGUAUCGAGAGGCACGGUGGACACUGCACAAGAGAGAAUGCCGGUAUGAGUAGCGAGAGGCAUGCGAGAAACAUGCCCGUCGAAAGCCCAAGGUUUCCUGGGGAAGGUUCAUCCGCCCAGGGUAAGUCGGGGCCUAAGCCGAGGACGGAAGUCGUAGGCGAUGGACAGCAGGUGUAGAUUCCUGCACUACCGAUGGAAUGAAGCAGUGACACAGAAGGAUAACUCGAGCAGGGUGAUGGUCAACCCUGUGCAAGCAUCAAGGUUGGGUUGUAGUGAAGUACGCAAUCCUAUAAGCUGAGGUGUGAUGCGGACCGAAAUUUCAGUAGGGAAGCGAGUGAGUUCACGCUGGCGAGAAAAGCUGCUAGUACAUCCAAAGGUACCCGUACCGGAAACCGACGCAGGUGGGCGAGGAGAGAAUCCUGAGACGAACGGGAGAACCCUUGUUAAGGAACUCGGCAAAAUGACCCCGUAACUUCGGGAUAAGGGGUGCCUGCGAGAGCAGGCCGCAGAGAAUAGUCACAAGCGACUGUUUAGCAAAAACACAGGUAUCUGCGAAAGCGAGAGCUGACGUAUAGGUGCUGACACCUGCCCGGUGCUGGAAGGUUAAGGGAACAUGUUAGAGCAAUCGAAGCAUCGAACCGAAGCCCCAGUAAACGGCGGCCGUAACUAUAACGGUCCUAAGGUAGCGAAAUUCCUUGUCGGGUAAGUUCCGACCCGCACGAAUGGUGUAACGACUUGUGAGCUGUCUCAACAGGGGGCCCGGUGAAAUUGAAGUAUGGGUGAAGAUGCCCAUUACCCGCGACUGGACGGAAAGACCCCGUAGAGCUUUACUGCAGCCUGAUAUUGAGUUUCGGUAACUGAUGCACAGGAUAGGUGGGAGUCUGAGAGACACGGGUUUCGGCUCGUGUGGAGACGCUGUUGGGAUACCACUCUUCGGUUACUGAAAUUCUAACAUAGCUCUGUGAAACCAGAGGAUGGACAGUGUCAGGUGGACAGUUUGACUGGGGCGGUCGCCUCCGAAAGAGUAACGGAGGCGCCCAAAGGUACCCUCAGAAUGGAUGGAAACCAUUCGAAGAGCGCAAAGGCAGAAGGGUGCCUGACUGCGAGAGUGACAACUCGAGCAGAGACGAAAGUCGGGCUUAGUGAUCCGGCGGUAUUGAGUGGAAAAGCCGUCGCUUAACGGAUAAAAGCUACCUCGGGGAUAACAGGCUGAUCUCCCCCAAGAGUCCACAUCGACGGGGAGGUUUGGCACCUCGAUGUCGGCUCAUCGCAUCCUGGGGCUGUAUUCGGUCCCAAGGGUUUGGCUGUUCGCCAAUUAAAGCGGCACGCGAGCUGGGUUCAGAACGUCGUGAGACAGUUCGGUCCCUAUCCAUCGUGGGCGUAGGAGUCAUGAGAGGAGCUGUUCCUAGUACGAGAGGACCGGAAUGGACGCACCACUGGUGCAACUGUUGUCGUGCCAACGGCAUAGCAGGGAAGCGAAGUGCGGAUGGGAUAAACGCUGAAGGCAUCUAAGCGUGAAGCCCACCUCAAGAAUAAGACUCCACAAUAGACCCCUGGAGGACUACCAGGUAGAUAGGUCAUCGGUGGAAGCGCUGUAAGGCGUGU